CAGCCGCCACGGUAAAACGAGGGGUGCAAGCGUUAUUCGGAUUGAUUGGGUGUAAAGGGUGUGCAGACGGCUUAUUAAGUCACUUGUUAAAUUCUUCGGCCUAACUGAAGGUCUGCAAGUGAUACUGAUGAGCUAGAGGGUGGAAGAGAGAAGUGGAAUUCUCGGAGUAGCGGUAAAAUGCGUAGAUCUCGAGAGGAACACCAAUGGCGAAGGCAGCUUCUUGGUCCAUUCCUGACGUUCAUACACGAAAGCGUGGGGAGCAAACAGGAUUAGAUACCCGCGUAGUCCCUGUCUCUUAUAC
rnacentral:rRNA from 1 species